UUAAAUUAAUUGAAGAAAAUAAAGAAAAGAAAGGACAAAAAGAAGAAAAUUUCAUUUUCUCUUUUCUUCUUCUUCUUCUCUUCCCUUCACCGCCAAGUUUGAAGACAUCCAAGUUUCCUUUAUUUUUUUUUCUUUUUCCUUCUUCAAUUUGCAGAGAACUUCUAAGAGAGAGUUUGGAAGAAUAAGAGAAAUUUUAUUAGAAUUUUUAGGUUGAAGAAGAGGAGGAGAACUCAAGCAAAGUGUAUCAAUGGCUGAAUUUUAGUUCAUUCUGCACAUCACUUGUUUUUAAUUCGGUUUGAACUCUUCAAAAGGAAUUAAGAGGUGAGAUUUACAUUUACUGAAAGUUAACUCAUUUUUAAACAAACUUUAUGAAGAACGUUGGAGCAAAUUCGGAUUUUCAUUUGGUGCUUUUUGAUGAAGAAAACAGGGCAGUUAGUUUUCACUCGAAAUCAGGAGGUCUCUGGUUUUUCUUGUAUUUCAGAGUGUAUCGGUGGAGUUAGAAUUUCUAUUUGGUAUGGUUGGAAAGCUUAUUCAAUUUACUACAACUUUCAUGAAGAAAUUGUAAACCAAAAACGACUAAAAAUUGGUUAAAUUGUAGGAACAAGUUAAAGAGGUCGUGUGCGCGCGAUUCUGGAAGUGGUUCUGUUUUGAGGGUUAUAUGUGUUUAUGCACGGGGAAUUAGAUUUAUAUGUCUUCAGGUAAGUUUUAGAGGAUCUCAAAAUGAAGAGUUUGAUAUAAAGAACACUCAUUUUGGUUAAGUAUUGAGAAAGUUAUAGUUCUUUGAAGUUUAUGUUAGAAAUCUGGAAAUUUUAGAGAAUUGUUGAAAUAGGAUUUUAUUUCUUAAGCUUUGUUUUCGUGAGCGUCAUCUUUGGUGCGACAUGUUAUGUAUAUCUUUAGGAAACCAGAAUGUUUAAGGUUUUAAUACUCGGUUGGGUUGUUGGCAGGCCGAGAAGAAUUAAACCGAGCUUAUAGACCAAGGAUCUAGCCCAAGACUGUAGAGAUCGACUUCCCGGUGCCUGAUAGACUGCCUUAGUCUGCGGAAGCUUCAUUAUCGAUUGCCAGUACGUGUUUUGAGUUGGGCAUAAAGUCUGUUGUGUUGUGAUGUAUUCACACCCUUGUAUGUUAUAGAUACUCCACAGUUUGUAUAAGCUUUAGGAGCUGUAGUUGUGUAAAUUUUGUUGGUUAUAUUUUGAUUAAGGUGUCUUUAGGUUUACUCGUGAAAUCGGUAAAUUUUGAGGUACACUUCAUGUAUGUGUUUGACUAGUUGUGUUUGACUAGCCUAGGAUCCGCUGUGUUUUGUGGCAUGUACAAUAGUUUAUAUACUAGAUUGGCAAGUUCAUCACAUGAAAGUUUUAAGCAGAGACGAC